rnacentral:lncRNA from 1 species
UUCUUUAAUUAGCUCAUUUAAUGCUAAGUAGCUGAUGAACAAGAAGCUUCUAGAUUGAGAACUUCUUGGAAAUUGGGAAAAUACAAGAAAACACCAUUUUUCCAACGGAUAAUGCUGAGGGUGAGCAGGCAAUAUUUCCAAAAUAGGAAAAUGAAAAACAAGGUCAGAGGCCCUAGCACAUCAGACUCUACCAGAUGUUUGUUUUUUCUCUGAGGCACCACUUAACA